rnacentral:rRNA from 1 species
CGCGGCCUAUCAGCUUGUUGGAGAGGUAACGGCUCACCAAGGCAUCGACGGGUAGCUGGUCUGAGAGGAUGAUCAGCCACACUGGGACUGAGACACGGCCCAGACUCCUACGGGAGGCAGCAGUGGGGAAUCUUGCACAAUGGGCGAAAGCCUGAUGCAGCAACGCCGCGUGCGGGAAGAAGGCCCUAGGGUUGUAAACCGCUUUCAGUAGGGAAGAAAAUGACGGUACCUACAGAAGAAGGUGCGGCCAACUACGUGCCAGCAGCCGCGGUGACACGUAGGCACCAAGCGUUAUCCGGAUUUAUUGGGCGUAAAGAGCUCGUAGGCGGUUCGGUAAGUCGGGUGUGAAAACUCUGGGCUCAACCCAGAGAGGCCGCCCGAUACUGCUGUGACUAGAGUGCGGUAGGGGAGCGGGGAAUUCCUGGUGUAGCGGUGAAAUGCGCAGAUAUCAGGAGGAACACCAGCGGCGAAGGCGCCGCUCUGGGCCGUAACUGACGCUGAGGAGCGAAAGCAUGGGUAGCAAACAGGAUUAGAUACCCUGGUAGUCCAUGCCGUAAACGUUGGGCACUAGGUGUGGGUCUCAACCAACGAGAUCCGCGCCGUCGCUAACGCAUUAAGUGCCCCGCCUAGGAGUACGG